rnacentral:lncRNA from 1 species
AUUACAAAAGAAACAUGAAGAAAUCCUAAAGAAUUUCUAAAGAAAUUGUAAAGAAAUUAUAAAAAAAUAAUAAGUAGAUCUUAAAGAAAUUCUAAAGAAAUCCAAAAGAAAUCUAUAAAAAAUCCUAAAGAAAUAUUAGAGAAAUCUUAAAUAAAUCUUAAAUGUUUUUUAACAAAAUUCUAUUUUAAUCCUAAUUGAAAUCUUAAUGGACCUUAACUCAAUCCUAGGUCAAAUCCUAUCUAAAUCCUAAAUUCUAAAUUAAAUCCUAAAAAAAUCCUAAAUCCUAAAUCCUAAACCAAACCUUAAACAAACUCUAAGUUCUAAAAAAAUCCUAAACUCUAAAUCAAAUCCUAGACAAAUCCUAAAUCCUAAAUCAAAUCCUAGAUAAAUCUUAAAUUCUAAAUCAAAUCUUAAAUAAACCUUAAACCUUAAACCAAAUCCUAGCCAAAUCCUAACUCUAAAAUAAAUCCCAAAUCCUAAACCAAAUCGUAGACAAAUCCUAAAUCCUAAAUAAAUCCUAAAUCUUAAAUCAAAUCUUAAUCAAAACCUAAUUAACUUAAAUCAUCUGUAAGAUUGAUUGGAAC